UGAUCUCAGAUCAAAUUUAUUUAGAAUACAUACGAGGGAGACUCGUGAAAGAACUUAUAUCAUCGGAGAGAUUUUGCACUCGGAAGGGUUAAGAUUAAUAUUAAAUAAUCGGACAUAGUACGAUAAGGUUGCGUAAAGGCAAACAGCCCAGAACAAGAGUAUAGGUUCCAAAAUUAUUAGUGAGUGAAAUAAAGAUGUGUCUUUUACCGAACAGAAAUAGGCUAGAACGCUUUUAAAAGAUCUCGUAACAGAGCCUUGUUACAGAAGAUCAUACAAAAAUAUUACGGAUCUAAACAAUAUACCGAACUUGUCCAUAGAUAAUUAUCUAUGGGGUAGCGGAACAUUGGAUAAAUCUAAGAUUUGUUCUUUAUAAGAUUAAAUAAAUAGAUAAUCCAAGUGAUAAUGCUGACAUGAGUAACGAAAAAGCAUAGGCUAUAAGUUUUAAAAGUAAAGGUUACUGACUUUUACUGAUAAAGCUUGAAAUUAGAUUAAAUUAAGAAAAUAGCAACCUUUCCUUAAACUUUCCAUAAAAAACCAAGCAUGGUUAAUAUAUAGGAAGUAUUUUGGUAUGGUAUUCUAUCCAUAAUUUGGUCUGCCUUAGCUCGCCUUAAGCUUAUGGACGGAACGAACCUCGCCUAAAAUUUACGGCCUCUAAAUUAAAUAUUUAAUGAUGAGAUAAUAUAGUAAACAAAACUAAUUAAAGUAAAAUUAGUUCUGGAAAAUUUUAUACUAUAUGGUAUAUUAAUUUGGAGAUAUAGAUGUGCAAUAUAUAGCCUGGCUUACUUGUGU
rnacentral:rRNA from 1 species